rnacentral:rRNA from 1 species
CCCUUAGAUGUUCUGGGCUGCACGCGUGCUACACUGAUUAUUUCAACAAGUGUUUUAACUGGAGAGUUUGCGUAAUCCUGAAAUGUUAUCGUGAUGGGAGUAGAGUAUUGUAUUUGUUAAUCUUUAACGAGGAAUUCCUAGUAAGUGUAGGUUUAUAAGUUGUUCUGAUUACGUCCCUGCCCUUUGUACACACCGCCCGUCGCUCCUACCGAUUGGGUGUGCUGGUGAAAUGUUCGGAUCGGCCGUUUGUCGCGGUUUCCGCGUCAUGUGGCUGAGAAGUUCAUUAAACCCUCCCACCUAGAGGAAGGAGAAGUCGUAACA